CAGAAACCCUCGAGCCGCCCGGCGGCUCGGCCCUGGGGACCGGCGCGCGCGCCGCCCCCGAAAUGCAGUGGCGACCACGCCGCGGCCUCCCCUGCGCAGUACAAGAACCUCGCACCGGAGCGCGGACGCGGUCACGCCGUGAAACCCCCCUUGAG
rnacentral:misc_RNA from 1 species